UGUGUGUGUAUCAAAGACGGUACAUAAUUAACCGGCCGAAUGAUAUUCUUGCAGAGUAUGUAGACAAUUAAACCCAGUUGAGUGAAGAAAUCGGCUCUUGAG